rnacentral:rRNA from 1 species
GCCUACGGGACGCAGCAGUGAGGAAUAUUGGUCAAUGGCCGAGAGGCUGAACCAGCCAAGUCGCGUGAGGGAAGACGGCCCUACGGGUUGUAAACCUCUUUUGUCGGGGAGCAAAGCGAACCACGUGUGGUUCAUUGAGAGUACCCGAAGAAAAAGCAUCGGCUAACUCCGUGCCAGCAGCCGCGGUAAUACGGAGGAUGCGAGCGUUAUCCGGAUUUACUGGGUGUAAAGGGAGCGUAGACGGCGCGGCAAGUCUGAAGUGAAAGGCAGGGGCUUAACCCCUGAACUGCUUUGGAAACUGCCAU